rnacentral:rRNA from 1 species
UGAGCAAUCUGCCCUUCUCUUCGGAAUAAGCGUUGGAAACGACGUCUAAUGCCGAAUACGACCUCCUUUCGCAUGAUCGGAGGUGGAAAGCUCCGGCGGAGAAGGAUGAGCUCGCGGCCUAUCAGCUAGUUGGUGUGGGUAAUGGCCCACCAAGGCGACGACGGGUAGCCGGCCUGAGAGGAUGACCAGCCACACUGGAACUGAGACACGGUCCAGACUCCGUAGGGAGG